rnacentral:pre_miRNA from 1 species
UUAUGGGCCUUAUCCAAAGCCCACUGAAGACAGUGGGAGUCUUUCCAUUGACUACAAUCAGUUUUGGAUCAGGCCCUUUAAAA